GACGAACGCUGGCGGCGUGCUUAACACAUGCAAGUCGAACGGAAAGGCCCUGCUUUUGUGGGGUGCUCGAGUGGCGAACGGGUGAGUAACACGUGAGUAACCUGCCCUUGACUUUGGGAUAACUUCAGGAAACUGGGGCUAAUACCGGAUAGGAGCUCCUGCUGCAUGGUGGGGGUUGGAAAGUUUCGGCGGUUGGGGAUGGACUCGCGGCUUAUCAGCUUGUUGGUGGGGUAGUGGCUUACCAAGGCUUUGACGGGUAGCCGGCCUGAGAGGGUGACCGGCAAAAUUGGGACGGGGGAAGGGCCCAGACCCCUAGGGGGGGCAGCGGGGGGGAAUUUUGCACAAGGGGGGGAAGCCGGAUGCAGAAACGCCGGGGGGGGGAGGGCGGCCUUCGGGUUGUAAACCGCUUUCGCCUGUGACGAAGCGGGGGGGACGGUAAUGGGGAAAGAAGCACCGGCUAACUACGU
rnacentral:rRNA from 1 species